rnacentral:tRNA from 2 species
GAGAGCAUAGCUCAGGUGGUAGAGCAACGCCCUUUUAAGGCGUGGGCCCUGGGUUCGAAUCCCAGUGCUCUCA